rnacentral:lncRNA from 1 species
CCUGCCUUAGCCAGCACAGAUAGUGAAGUAGGCUCCCCGUCAGCACCUGCUUUCUUGCUUUAUGAUGAGAGACAAUGGCUCACAUUGUGCGAGGCUGGGACCCGAUAUUGGUUGUCAGUCCUCUUGUUUUGCACGGAAGGAAAAGGGCAGGAGCAGAGCAGAGAAAAUGCACCAGGGAAAUCCACGCACAACAGACGCUGGGGGGAGCGGCGGGACGGCGCCGCGCAUGGACGCAAUGGGGCGCCACUACACCGCACUGCCACGCGCGGUCGCUAGAGGGCGCUGCGACACCGCGGUCUCGGCUGGGCGCCCCCGGCGCCGCAUUCCCUCCUUAGCGGCGGCGCCCCGCUCUGCUCCCUCCCCGCGCCCUCCGCCCACGGGCGCAGCGCCGCGCAGCCCCGACCCGCGGCACGUGGGUGCGGUCAGUUCGGACUGCUGUGAACGGGAAGGGAUGAGGCUGUGGUGCGCUCAGACAUCUCUUUAAAGCGCCGUUUUUUCUGUAGCUCUGUAAUAGGAGUGAAGAAGGAUUUCUCUGAGAACUUUUAAAGUCACGUCAGCAUGUGAUUAGACUUCAGAUAUUCGGAAUGGGUUCGUGCGCCGUUCGGAACCUCGGGCAGCGGCAGCCGUGUCCGUGUCCGUGCUGUGCUCGGCUCCGAUCGCUCCUUAACGCCGGGGCUGUGGCUCUGCAGCGCUGCCCGCUGCCCUGGCACUGAUCUGCGGGGCCUCAGACAUAAUGCGUGUGUGAGGAGUUCCGUAUCGAAGUUAAAAGGACGCAUUAAAAUAAAUAAGAUAAGGUAUCCUGGCUGCGAGCUCCUAAGGCAGCCCAGCCAGAUAACUACAACGGGACCCGAGUUCUCGGCAAUGAUAGCGCAGGUCAGCAAAGGAAGUGAAGCAAUUACGUUCCAAACACACUCAGCUGAUGGAUCUCAGCGAGCUGGGCUUGCAGGCAGACUUCGGCAGAGCCUUUUGUGCUCUCGACCAUAGAAAACAAGCAAUAGAAAAGCUUAACUUCCUGGACCUGUGCUGAAUACUAAGUUAUCAAAAGAGUACCUCAUUAUUAUACUACUUUUUACAAGGAAACAGUGGGCAGAGGAAAUGUGACUCAGUGCAAACACUGGGAUAAAAAGGUACUGUGCAAAUGAACAAACAAACCACUUGCAAGCAAGCUCCGCUGAGCCCGCUGUCGCAUUCUUGUUGAGUCUCAGGGCAUUUUAGGACCUGCUCCAAAAGGGUUCUUCGUUAUUCAUACAGCUAAAAAUAGACCUGACGUCUCAAUUGCGGUGCUCAGCCAGAGCUCAGAGCCAAAGAACACUGAUUCAUUGAAUCCGAACCUUUGGGCCCUUCCAGAAAACCACAAGGUAGGUGACAAAGUUCCAGUGAAGUUGAUCCAAACGUUGACAACAUCGGCCUUUGUCCUCUGACAGUGCCUCUCCUUUCCAGAUUAUGACUAUUUGCUAGCAAGAAUAUUGCAACUAAAUAUACACAAAAGCCAGAGAUUGCAAAACAGUCGCCCUGGGGAUGUUAAAACAAACAGAAAUCCCACAUGUAUUUUUCCUCUUUCAGUGUCUGCCAAAGUCUGAUUGCUGCUCUGAAGGCUGCUUUGUGCCAUCUUUUCUCUCCAUUUCUUCUCAUGAAUGGACUUUUGUCCACUCCUCUUCUAUGUCCUCCACAUUAGCCUUAACAUCAUAAGACUCCUUAUUUUUCAUAUGGAAAGCCCAGUGUACGCAAGGUCUGUUUCCUCAGCUCACCGUCAGAGGAAAGGAUGCUGAGCACACGUCGUGCAGAAGGGAUCAGAACAGAGAUACGGUCUUUGUCUGCUGGGAACCACUGAAAAAAAGGGGUAACUAAAGAAACUUCUGUGGAGGAAUGAAAAGUAGAGCAAUGACUCCUGUCAGAGGAGGGGAUGGGUGAUGCUGCAGGUUGGAGGCCAGGCUGCCUCGGGAGGAGCAGAAUGAAGGGCACGAACCUUACCCUUACCCUGCUUCCCUUACCGCGUCCAUCAAAGCCCCACUUUCCACUGUUUUAGCAGCAGACAGCUGAAGGCAUAAACUUCGUCUCUUUUGAAUCAAUGCCGUGGUAAAACUCCUCUGUAGGAGCAUGGCAAAAAUCACAUCCCCACCUCACUAACACCUACACACCCUCAAUAUUAAGAGCAACUGCCUCGUGUUUGAAAAGUUCUGGGAGUGUUUGAAGUGCUGAAUGCCGCUGUUCUGUGCCAUCCACUUUUCCCUCUCCUCCCACAGAUGUGUUUGUCUCAGCGUGACGCUGUACUGGCAGGCAGAGAGGAGCAGCACAGCAGCACAGCUCUGAGUUCGCAGCCUGGGGUCAGAUCUCACCCUUCACCUCUUGGGCUCCUUUGUUACAUCAAC